AAUGUAAAAUUAGAUAUGGUCGCCCUAAAAGCGCUGGGUAAAAAAAAUUAAUACAACUUUCAACAACGGAUCUCUUGGUCUCGCAUCGAUGAAGAACGCAGCGAAAUGCUAUAAGUAAUGUGAAUUGAGAUUUUCAGAGAAUCAUCGGAUCUUUGAACGCACCUUGCGCUCAUUGGAUUGCGAGGAGCAUGCCUGUUUGAGUGUCAUUAAAUUAUCAACCCCGAUGGAUUUGCUUUCGAUUCGGUGGCUUGGACGGUGGACCGUGCUGGCCCUUGGGUCGGCUCCUUUCAAAUGCAUUCGCGGAAUUGACUUUGGUCCGUUUCGUCAUCAGUGUGAUAAUCGAGUUUCGCUGUCGGCCAGGAUCGAGGUGCCCAUAUAAUGGUCUUCGGACAACCUCUUAUCAAUUUGACCUCUUUUCGGGAGGACUACCCGAUGAACUUAAGCCAUAUCUAAAGAAAGCGGUAGAG
rnacentral:rRNA from 1 species